CGAAUGCUGACAUAAGUAACGAUAAAGCGGGUGAAAAGCCCGCUCGCCGGAAGACCAAGGGUUCCUGUCCAACGUUAAUCGGGGCAGGGUGAGUCGACCCCUAAGGCGAGGCCGAAAGGCGUAGUCGAUGGGAAACAGGUUAAUAUUCCUGUACUUGGUGUUACUGCGAAGGGGGGACGGAGAAGGCUAUGUUGGCCGGGCGACGGUUGUCCCGGUUUAAGCGUGUAGGCUGGUUUUCCAGGCAAAUCCGGAAAAUCAAGGCUGAGGCGUGAUGACGAGGCACUACGGUGCUGAAGCAACAAAUGCCCUGCUUCCAGGAAAAGCCUCUAAGCAUCAGGUAACAUCAAAUCGUACCCCAAACCGACACAGGUGGUCAGGUAGAGAAUA
rnacentral:rRNA from 1 species